UGGGGAAUUUUGGACAAUGGACGCAAGUCUGAUCCAGCUAUGCCGCGUGCGGGAAGAAGGCCUUCGGGUUGUAAACCGCUUUUGUCAGGGAAGAAACGAGUUUCUCUAAUACAGAGACUUAAUGACGGUACCUGAAGAAUAAGCACCGGCUAACUACGUGCCAGCAGCCGCGGUAAUACGUAGGGUGCGAGCGUUAAUCGGAAUUACUGGGCGUAAAGCGUGCGCAGGCGGUUUAGUAAGACAGGCGUGAAAUCCCCGGGCUCAACCUGGGAACUGCGCUUGUGACUGCUAAGCUAGAGUACGGCAGAGGGAGGUGGAAUUCCGCGUGUAGCAGUGAAAUGCGUAGAUAUGCGGAGGAACACCGAUGGCGAAGGCAGCCUCCUGGGCCAGUACUGACGCUCAUGCACGAAAGCGUGGGGAGCAAACA
rnacentral:rRNA from 1 species